rnacentral:rRNA from 1 species
UACGUAGGGGGCUAGCGUUGUCCGGAUUUAUUGGGCGUAAAGAGCGUGUAGGCGGCCAGGUAAGUCCGCUGUAAAAGUCAAAGGCUCAACCUUUGAAUGUCAGUGGAUACUGCCGGGCUAGAGUCCGGAAGAGGCGAGUGGAACUCCUGGUGUAGCGGUGGAAUGCGCAGAUAUCAGGAAGAACACCAACGGCGAAGGCAGCUCGCUGGGACGGUACUGACGCUGAGACGCGAAAGCGUGGGGAGCGAACAGG